AUCAACUUUCGAUGGUAGGAUAGAGGCCUACCAUGGUGGUAACGGGUAACGGGGUGUUAGGGCACGACACCGGAGAGGGAGCCUGAGAAACGGCUACCACAUCCAAGGAUGGCAGCAGGCGCGCAAAUUACCCAAUCCCGACACGGGGAGGUAGUGACAAUAAAUAACAAUACGGGGUUCUUUCGGAUUUCGUAAUUGGAACGAGUACAAUUUAAAUCUCUUAACGAGGAACAAUUGGAGGGCAAGUCUGGUGCCAGCAGCCGCGGUAAUUCCAGCUCCAAUAGCGUAUAUUAAAGUUGCUGCAGUUAAAAAGCUCGUAGUUGAAUUUCGGGACUAAUAUGUCGGUCGUGCCUCGGUACGUACUGGUAUUUUUGGUUUCUCCCUUCUGACGAACCUUGAUGUCAUUAAUUUGGUGUCUUGGGAAAUCAGGACUGUUACUUUGAAAAAAUUAGAGUGUUUAAAGCAGGCUCACGCUUGAAUACAUUAGCAUGGAAUAAUGAAAUAGGACGUUUGAUUCUAUUUUGUUGGUUUCUAGGAUCGACGUAAUGAUUAAUAGGGAUAGUUGGGGGCAUUAGUAUUCAAUUGUCAGAGGUGAAAUUCUUGGAUUUAUUGAAGACUAACUACUGCGAAAGCAUUUGCCAAGGAUGUUUUCAUUAAUCAAGAACGAAAGUUAGGGGAUCGAAGACGAUCAGAUACCGUCGUAGUCUUAACCAUAAACUAUGCCGACUAGGGAUCGGAUGAUGUUAAUUUUUUAAUGACUCAUUCGGCGCCUUACGGGAAACCAAAGUGUUUGGGUUC
rnacentral:rRNA from 1 species